CGGACGGGUGAGUAACGCGUGGAAAACCUGCCGUAUACUGGGGGAUAACACUUAGAAAUAGGUGCUAAUACCGCAUAAGCGCACAGCUUCGCAUGAAGUGGUGUGAAAAACUCUGGUGGUAUACGAUGGUUCCGCGUCUGAUUAGCUAGUUGGUGGGGCAACGGCCCACCAAGGCGACGAUCAGUAGCCGGACUGAGAGGUUGGCCGGCCACAUUGGGACUGAGACACGGCCCAGACUCCUACGGGAGGCAGCAG
rnacentral:rRNA from 1 species